CUAAUACAUGCAAGUCGAACGCUUUGUCUUUAAUUGAUCUGACGAGCUUGCUCUGAUGUGAUUUUAUCUGACAAAGAGUGGCGAACGGGUGAGUAACACGUGGGUAACCUACCUCUUAGCAGGGGAUAACAUUUGGAAACAAGUGCUAAUACCGUAUAAUACCAACAACCGCAUGGUUGUUGGUUGAAAGAUGGUUCUGCUAUCACUAAGAGAUGGACCCGCGGUGCAUUAGCUAGUUGGUAAGGUAACGGCUUACCAAGGCAAUGAUGCAUAGCCGAGUUGAGAGACUGAUCGGCCACAAUGGGACUGAGACACGGCCCAUACUCCUACGGGAGGCAGCAGUAGGGAAUCUUCCACAAUGGGCGCAAGCCUGAUGGAGCAACGCCGCGUGUGUGAUGAAGGGUUUCGGCUCGUAAAACACUGUUAUAAGAGAAGAACGGCACUGAGAGUAACUGUUCAGUGUGUGACGGUAUCUUACCAGAAAGGAACGGCUAAAUACGUGCCAGCAGCCGCGGUAAUACGUAUGUUCCAAGCGUUAUCCGGAUUUAUUGGGCGUAAAGCGAGCGCAGACGGUUAUUUAAGUCUGAAGUGAAAGCCCUCAGCUCAACUGAGGAAUGGCUUUGGAAACUGGAUGACUUGAGUGCAGUAGAGGAAAGUGGAACUCCAUGUGUAGCGGUGAAAUGCGUAGAUAUAUGGAAGAACACCAGUGGCGAAGGCGGCUUUCUGGACUGUAACUGACGUUGAGGCUCGAAAGUGUGGGUAGCAAACAGGAUUAGAUAC
rnacentral:rRNA from 1 species